GACGAACGCUGGCGGCGUGCCUAAUACAUGCAAGUAGAACGCUGAAGCUUGGUGCUUGCACCGAGCGGAUGAGUUGCGAACGGGUGAGUAACGCGUAGGUAACCUGCCUGGUAGCGGGGGAUAACUAUUGGAAACGAUAGCUAAUACCGCAUAAAAUGGAUUAUCGCAUGAUAAUCGAUUGAAAGGUGCAAAUGCAUCACUACCAGAUGGACCUGCGUUGUAUUAGCUAGUUGGUGGGGUAACGGCUCACCAAGGCGACGAUACAUAGCCGACCUGAGAGGGUGAUCGGCCACACUGGGACUGAGACACGGCCCAGACUCCUACGGGAGGCAGCAGUAGGGAAUCUUCGGCAAUGGACGGAAGUCUGGCCGAGCAACGCCGCGUGAGUGAAGAAGGUUUUCGGAUCGUAAAGCUCUGUUGUAAGAGAAGAACGAGUGUGAGAGUGGAAAGUUCACACUGUGACGGUAUCUACCA
rnacentral:rRNA from 1 species